UUGAGGCGAAGAUUGUGACGUCACUAAGAUGGCCACCGCUUGAAAACGAAGUGUGGGUCUCUAAAGUUGGGGCCACUGACUCCAAAUGACAUUGUCAAGUUGUUAUUUGGCAUGUCGGCGCAUAAUGUCCUAGUACCAUAUUAACAUUGUUUCAUUGAAAACGCGCACUAAAUAAAUGUGUCAGAGUAUAUAGUACCUGCCAGCAGGGAAGAACCCCGACAUCCGACGAACUUGAACCGAGCCUACGUUCUUUAACCGUACAACGAAGGAAAACGUUGAAGGUCCGUCUCCGAAAAGAAAGCUAGAAUCAUCAUGUGUGUGGCAGCACUUUAAAAAAAAACCGAGGACAAGACGAAGGCCACCUGUGUUUAUUGUGAGAAAUCGUUAAAAACGGCGGG